rnacentral:rRNA from 1 species
UUGACCUCAAAUCARGUAGGACUACCCGCUGAACUUAAGCAUAUCAAUAAGCGGARGAAAAGAAACUAACAAGGAUUCCCUUAGUAACUGCGAGUGAAGAGGGAAAAGCUCAAAUUUAAAAUCUGGCAGKGUUUCAUUGUCCGA